CUAUUUUCUUCCCCUUCUAAACCUAAGCCGCUACUCUGAAAACCAGGUUCUUUUAGUUUCUUAUUAUCAAGGGUUUAUUAUCCAUAUAUUUUUAGUUUCUUAUUUUCUUCCUAAAUCGAAUUGAAAACCAGGUUCUGAGAAAUCAAAAUCCAUCUCUCCUGAACCCUAACCUGGUAAAUCUAAACCCUCAUCUCUCCAAAAUGCUAUCUUGUUUUCUUGUUUUUACUCUUCAAAACCCAAAUCGAGAUUUUCAAAUUCAACACAAGUUUUCAGAAAUCAAAAAUUUAUCUCUCCUAAAUUCGAAUCUCAUCAAUCGAAACCCUUAGAAAUAUGUUAGAUCCGAGAUUUGUGGUUUUUCUCAUGGUUAGAAAGUUCGAAUGGAGGAUUUUAGAUCUGAGAAUUGUAAAAAUGGUGGUUCAUCGUUAUCAAAGAUUUGGAGUUGACGAUCCUGAAUUACAAAGAAAUAAAAGAGUUGCUAGUUUUAAAGUUUAUGCUGCUUAGGGAAAGAUGAAAGGGUCUUUCAGAAGGAUUGCAUAGGAGGAUGGUCUGAAAGCUUCUCCUCUCGGCAUAGUCACAUAUAAUGCAAGUGUGCGCUACAGUGAUGAGUACAACACUGGGAUUGAGUACACCUGUAGAUGAGCGUGAUACUAGCUAACAAUGCAUGGUUAGGCGGGCGGGGGAAAGCUAAUGGUGUCACAUAUGAGUCACUACUUACGCAGUUUAUGUACACCACCUGGAGAUUGAAUGAUUGUUCCAUUUGCUCCGCCAUACGAUCCACAUGGAGGAUACCCCGUGCCUCCACUAGCAAUGACUGCAUCAGCCCCUCUACCACCACAUGAUGGUUUGCCAGUUUUCUUUGUUCAAAUUGAUUGCGUAUUCGCGUAUAACACAAGGAUGAUGGCGAAGAAUACAAAUUUUGGGGAGAAGGCAUUGGAACCACAAGUUUUUAUUGAGUAGAAAUGUAAUCGAGAACUGAGACCACUUUAUCAGAAAAGAAAUGAGAUUGUCCAAACAAUUUCCAACUUCUAGUUAUUAGCGGUUCUUUCUCCAUUCCUUUAAAGAGCAAUUACAGCAGCACGUUCGUGUUCAUGCAAUGGCGUGUUGGCAGCUUGAGUAAUAUCUCCAAAGUCUAUCAGGUAUCUUGUAGUUUUCUAUAAGAUCCGUUUCAAGUAUUUCUUCUUGUAGUUUUCCUGAGAUACAUCAGCGAAGACCGUAUUCUCCCUUGUUCUGCUAGUAUAUAAAAUUAGUAGUUACACGAAUAUUCAAGAUCUGCAUCUUUAAGGGUAGCUGCUCAUAUGAAAAAACUUAAAAUUUAUUUCAAUAA